rnacentral:rRNA from 1 species
AUUGAACGCUGGCGGCAUGCUUUACACAUGCAAGUCGAACGGUAACAGGCCGCAAGGUGCUGACGAGUGGCGAGCGGGUGAGUAAUGCAUCGGAACGUGCCCAGUCGUGGGGGAUAACUACUCGAAAGAGUAGCUAAUACCGCAUACGAUCUAUGGAUGAAAGCGGGGGACCGUAAGGCCUCGCGCGAUUGGAGCGGCCGAUGUCAGAUUAGGUAGUUGGUGGGGUAAAGGCUCACCAAGCCAACGAUCUGUAGCUGGUCUGAGAGGACGACCAGCCACACUGGGACUGAGACACGGCCCAGACUCCUACGGGAGGCAGCAGUGGGGAAUUUUGGACAAUGGGCGCAAGCCUGAUCCAGCAAUGCCGCGUGCAGGAAGAAGGCCUUCGGGUUGUAAACUGCUUUUGUACGGAACGAAACGGCUCUGGUUAAUACCCGGGGCUAAUGACGGUACCGGAAGAAUAAGCACCGGCUAACUACGUG